CUCACUCGAUGUGAUGCGACGGAUAAUUAAUUAAAAAAAAAUAAAAAAAUCAAUGACAAAAGAAAAAUAAAUUGCGAUGAAAAAACCGAUGAUAAAGGAUGAGAUUUAUCUUGACGAUGAAUGUAACAGUCGAAGAAAAAGAAAGAGGAACAAUUUGGUCUAAUGCUGAAGUAUGAUUGGAUUCAAUUCAAGAAAAAAAAAAAACUCAAUUAAUUAGGCUCAAGCAAAGAAUGAGAAAAGCUUGAGCCAAGAAUAGAGUCUAUACUCAAUAAGAAAGAAAUAUUAUCUUGUGGUAAAUUUAAAAGGAAUAAUAUAUAAAUAUAUAUACAGAGGUGGUGAGGUAUACAUAAUAGUAUAUAUAAAAAUAAUAUAAAUAAAAAAUAAAUACGGAUGG
rnacentral:lncRNA from 1 species